rnacentral:rRNA from 1 species
UACAGAGGGUGCAAGCGUUAAUCGGAAUUACUGGGCGUAAAGCGUGCGUAGACGGUUGCGUAAGUCAGAUGUGAAAGCCCCGGGCUCAACCUGGGAAUUGCAUUUGAGACUGCGUAGCUAGGGUGCGGAAGAGGGAAGCGGAAUUCCCGGUGUAGCGGUGAAAUGCGUAGAUAUCGGAAGGAACACCAGUGGCGAAAGCGGCUUCCUGGUCCAGCACCGACGUUCAGGCACGAAAGCGUGGGGAGCAAACAGG